rnacentral:rRNA from 1 species
CGCAUCUGUGCAUGCAGCAUAUCAAUAAGCGGAGGAAAAGAAACUAACAAGGAUUCCCCUAGUAACGGCGAGUGAAGCGGGAAGAGCUCAAAUUUGAAGUCUUAAAGGGUUUCCCUUUACGAAUCGUAGUUUAAAGAAGUGUUUUCUGUUGAGGUUUUGGUAAAAGUUCUUUGGAAUAGGACAUCAUAGAGGGUGAGAAUCCCGUAUUUGACCUUUACUUUCAACUUUGUGAUACACUUUCAAAGAGUCGGAUUGUUUGGGAAUGCAGUCCAAAAUGGGUGGUAAAUUUCAUCUAAAGCUAAAUAUUGGCGAGAGACCGAUAGCGAACAAGUACCGUGAGGGAAAGAUGAAAAGAACUUUGAAAAGAGAGUUAAACAGUACGUGAAAUUGUCAAAAGGGAAGCGUUUGACACCAGUGUUGUUUUUCUGAAAAUCAAUUAAAGAACUGUUUAUGCUAAGUUGUUUAGACUUUAUCAGUUAACUGUUUAGUUUUGAGCUUUUCUUUAAUGCACUUUUCAGUUAACAAGUCAACAUCAAUUUCUUUUGCUGUAAAAAAGCUCGAGGAAGGUGGCUUGAGAUUCGUCUUAAGUGUUUAUAGCCUCUUGCCUAUGCAGUCGGAGAGAUUGAGGUCUGCAGCGUAGAUCCUUCGGGGCUAAAUGCAUUUGUGCUAAGUUAUAACAUUUCAUAGACAACUUGUUGACUAUGAUUUGUCUUGUAGCUUACUCGCUUAUGUUAUUUUACCUACGCUUAGGAUGUUGACAGCAGUAUAGACUGU